AGCCUUGAGGCUGGCAGCGUGUGGGACUCCAGCACCUAUCUGCAUCCUCUGCCUUGGGAGAAGCCCUGGCAUGAAGAUCUGCUGCCUGGGAAGCCUCAGCACUGCUCUGCAUGGGGCAGCUGUAGAGCCCGUGGGGCUGUCCUGCCAGGCAAUUCCUUUGCUAGGAUGUUAAACCCAAACUUCCUGACAAGAGGCUGCUAGUGCUGACUCACCCUGGGUGGACCGUGGCAGAGUAUUUUCUCUCCUGAAAUGAAGCAGAAGGUGUCCAACUGCGCGCAUGAAUUAGUCCUCAGCUAUGCCAUGCUUGGAGCCCGUAUUGCGGAGGU